rnacentral:rRNA from 1 species
AGCGAACGUUAGCGGCGCGCCUAACACAUGCAAGUCGCACGAGAAAGGGAGCAAUCCCCGGUACAGUGGCGCACGGGUGAGUAACACGUAGAUGACCUUCCCUGGAGUGGUGGAUAACCUGCCGAAAGGCGGGCUAAUACAGCAUGGGACCACAUGGUUUUGACCGAGUGGUGAAAGCGGGCCUCUGUUCACAAGCUCGCGCUCUGGGAUGGGUCUGCGUCCCAUCAGCUAGUUGGUGAGGUAAUGGCUCACCAAGGCAUCGACGGGUAGCUGGUCUGAGAGGAUGACCAGCCACACUGGAACUGAGACACGGUCCAGACUCCUACGGGAGGCAGCAGUGGGGAAUCUUGCGCAAUGGCGAAAGCCUGACGCAGCGACGCCGCGUGGUGAUGAA